GACGAACGCUGGCGGCGUGCUUAACACAUGCAAGUCGAACGGAAAGGCCCUGCUUUUGUGGGGUGCUCGAGUGGCGAACGGGUGAGUAACACGUGAGUAACCUGCCCUUGACUUUGGGAUAACUUCAGGAAACUGGGGCUAAUACCGGAUAGGAGCUCCUGCUGCAUGGUGGGGGUUGGAAAGUUUCGGCGGUUGGGGAUGGACUCGCGGCUUAUCAGCUUGUCGGUGGGGUAGCGGCUUACCAAGGCUUUGACGGGUAGCCGGCCUGAGAGGGUGACCGGCCACAUUGGGACUGAGAUACGGCCCAGACUCCUACGGGAGGCAGCAGUGGGGAAUAUUGCACAAUGGGCGGAAGCCUGAUGCAGCAACGCCGCGUGCGGGAUGACGGCCUUCGGGUUGUAAACCGCUUUCGCCUGUGACGAAGCGUGAGUGACGGUAAUGGGUAAAGAAGCACCGGCUAACUACGUG
rnacentral:rRNA from 1 species